UUCGCCAGGGAUGAUAAUGACAGUACCUGGUAAAGAAACCCCGGCUAACUCCGUGCCAGCAGCCGCGGUAAUACGGAGGGGGUUAGCGUUGUUCGGAAUUACUGGGCGUAAAGCGCACGUAGGCGGAUCAAUAAGUUAGAGGUGAAAUCCCAGGGCUCAACCCUGGAACUGCCUUUAAUACUGUUGGUCUAGAGUUCGAGAGAGGUAAGUGGAAUUCCGAGUGUAGAGGUGAAAUUCGUAGAUAUUCGGAGGAACACCAGUGGCGAAGGCGGCUUACUGGCUCGAUACUGACGCUGAGGUGCGAAAGUGUGGGGAGCAAACAGGAUUAGAUACCCUGGUAGUCCACUGCUGCCUCCCNUAGGAA
rnacentral:rRNA from 1 species